rnacentral:rRNA from 1 species
UGAACGCUAGCGUACAGGCUUAACACAUGCAAGUCGAGGGGCAGCAUUGGAGUAGCAAUACUCAGAUGGCGACCGGCGCACGGGUGAGUAACACGUAUCCAACCUGCCGCUUACUCGGGGAUAGCCUUUCGAAAGAAAGAUUAAUACCCGAUGGUAUAAAGAGUUCGCAUGUUCUCUUUAUUAAAGAAUUUCGGUAAGCGAUGGGGAUGCGUUCCAUUAGAUAGUUGGCGGGGUAACGGCCCACCAAGUCUACGAUGGAUAGGGGUUCUGAGAGGAAGGUCCCCCACAUUGGAACUGAGACACGGUCCAAACUCCUACGGGAGGCAGCAGUGAGGAAUAUUGGUCAAUGGACGAGAGUCUGAACCAGCCAAAGUAGCGUGAAGGAUGACUGCCCUAUGGGUUGUAAACUUCUUUUAUAAGGGAAUAAAGUGAGGGACGUGUCCCUUUUUGUAUGUACCUUAUGAAUAAGGAUCGGCUAACUCCGUGCCAGCCGCCGC